AAAUGCGAUAAGUAAUGUGAAUUGCAGAAUUCAGUGAAUCAUCGAAUCUUUGAACGCACAUUGCGCCCGCCAGCACUCUGGCGGGCAUGCCUGUUCGAGCGUCAUUUCAACCCUCAGAACCCCUUGCGGGAUCUGGCGUUGGGGAUUGGCAUCCAGCCAGCCCCGAAAUCUAGUGGCGGUCCCUCCGCGACCUCCCCUGUGCAGUAGCGAUACCUCGCAGCGGGACAGCGGUCUGACCACGCCGUAAAACCCCCAACUUCACAAGGUUGACCUCGAAUCAGGUAGGAAUACCCGCUGAACUUAAGC
rnacentral:misc_RNA from 1 species